rnacentral:lncRNA from 1 species
CAGGGUUGCCUUGAGAGUCAGGGAAGGGUCUGGAAUAAAGGGAGGGGAUGCCUUGAGGAACAGAUUGUAGGAAGAAACCAAAUUGGGGAAAAUAUAGAGGGAUAACAGAACAAACCAUCUGACAAUGACUUAAAGAAAUAAAUACGAACCACUGAGCCCAAGGGCACUGGACAAAUUGGAAUAGUAUUGAAGAUUGGAAAGCUGAAGCCUCUUUCUCCAGAGUCCUGCACUGUUUGUUGUCAACACAUCCAGAACCAAAUCCCUGCUGGGCUCACGUCUUGAAAGAAGCUUUCUCUAGACUUUGUUUCUGGGAAUUGCCAUUUUGAUUCAGAUUUUGGGGGAAGUUUGAAUCUUUAAUUUUUUUUCCUUUGUUUUGUGACUCCCAUUCUGAACAGAGCUUGGACCAAUGUGUGAAUAAGUGGAUUUUGCCUCUUGCUUAAGAAGAUGAAGAUCUCCUGUCUGAAACGUUAUUUCUGGGGUCUUUUCAAAGCAUUUCCCAGCUCCUGGAAACUUUCUCCCAAAACCCAUCCUUCUGGAUGAAGGCAGGCUGUCCUGGAAGAGUAUCUGUGUUUGAAAAUACAUUUCCACAGCCAUCACAAUAAAUUACUU